UUUUCCCGCCUCUUCUGUAUUUUCUGCUAUUAAAGUGACUUGGGCAAAUCCUGCGAGUGACUUGGGCAAGUCACUUGCCCAAUCUGCCCUAAUCACUCUCUGGGAUUCAGUCCAGUUUUUGCCUUUGACUCUGCGAAUGACUUGGCCAGUUCCUGCGAGUGACUUGGGCAAGUCACUUGACCCAGUCACUUUUCCAGCUUUUUCUUCACUUUUUCUCCAACUUUUUAAUUUCUUCCUUUUCUGUAAAAACAUAAC
rnacentral:lncRNA from 1 species